GGGCGGAGACCGAGAGUGAGUGAGAGAGAGAGACAGGGCGGAGACAGAGUGUGAGUGAGACGGCGAGAGUGCGAGUGGUCAUGGAACUCCAGUACAUAUGGAACCAUGCCCCCAUGGUUCCUUAUGUACUGGAGUUCCAUGACCACUCGCACUCUCGCCGUCUCACUCACACUCUGUCUCCGCCCUGUCUCUCUCUCUGCCCUGUCUCUCUCACUCACUCUCGGUCUCCGCCCUGCCUGUCUGUCUCUCUCUCGGUCUCUCUCCUGUCC